rnacentral:rRNA from 1 species
AGGGAAUCUUCGGCAAUGGGGGCAACCCUGACCGAGCAACGCCGCGUGAGUGAAGAAGGUUUUCGGAUCGUAAAGCUCUGUUGUAAGAGAAGAACGAGUGUGAGAGUGGAAAGUUCACACUGUGACGGUAACUUACCAGAAAGGGACGGCUAACUACGUGCCAGCAGCCGCGGUAAUACGUAGGUCCCGAGCGUUAUCCGGAUUUAUUGGGCGUAAAGCGAGCGCAGGCGGUUAGAUAAGUCUGAAGUUAAAGGCUGUGGCUUAACCAUAGUACGCUUUGGAAACUGUUUAACUUGAGUGCAGAAGGGGAGAGUGGAAUUCCAUGUGUAGCGGUGAAAUGCGUAGAUAUAUGGAGGAACACCGGUGGCGAAAGCGGCUCUCUGGUCUGUAACUGACGCUGAGGCUCGAAAGCGUGGGGAGCAAAC